rnacentral:rRNA from 1 species
CAACCUACCUUAUAGUUUGGGAUAACUCCGGGAAACCGGGGCUAAUACCGAAUAAUCUGUUUCACCUCAUGGUGAGAUAUUGAAAGACGGUAACGGCUGUCGCUAUAGGAUGGGCCCGCGGCGCAUUAGCUAGUUGGUGAGGUAACGGCUCACCAAGGCGACGAUGCGUAGCCGACCUGAGAGGGUGAUCGGCCACACUGGGACUGAGACACGGCCCAGACUCCUACGCGAGGCAGCAGUAGGGAAUCUUCCACAAUGGGCGAAAGCCUGAUGGAGCAACGCCGCGUGAGUGAAGAAGGAUUACGGUUCGUAAAACUCUGUUGUAAGGGAAGAACAAGUACAGUAGUAACUGGCUGUACCUUGACGGUACCUUAUUAGAAAGCCACGGCUAACUACGUGCCAGCAGCCGCGGUAAUACGUAGGUGGCAAGCGUUGUCCGGAAUUAUUGGGCGUAAAGCGCGCGCAGGUGGUGUCUUAAGUCUGAUGUGAAAGCCCACGGCUCAACCGUGGAGGGUCAUUGGAAACUGGGAGACUUGAGUGCAGAAGAGCUUAGUGGAAUUCCAAGUGUAGCGGUGAAAUGCGUAGAGAUUUGGAGGAACACCAGUGGCGAAGGCGACUAUCUGGUCUGUAACUGACACUGAGGCGCGAAAGCGUGGGGAGCAAACAGGAUUAGAUACCCUGGUAGUCCACGCCGUAAACGAUGAGUGCUAGUGUUAGGGGGUUUCCGCCCCUUAGUGCUGCAGCUAACGCAUUAAGCACUCCGCCUGGGAGAGUACGGUCGCAAGACUGAAACUCAAAGGAAUUGACGGGGGCCCGCACAAGCGGUGGAGCAUGUGGUUUAAUUCGAAGCAACGCGAAGAACCUUACCAGGUCUUGACAUCCCGUUGACCACUGUAGAGAUAUGGUUUCCCCUUCGAGUUCAACGGUGACAGGUGGUGCAUGGUUGUCGUCAGCUCGUGUCGUGAGAUGUUGGGUUAAGUCCCGCAACGAGCGCAACCCUUGAUCUUAGUUGCCAUCAUUUAGUUGGGCACUCUAAGGUGACUGCCGGUGACAAACCGGAGGAAGGUGGGGAUGACGUCAAAUCAUCAUGCCCCUUAUGACCUGGGCUACACACGUGCUACAAUGGACGAUACAAACGGUUGCCAACUCGCGAGAGGGAGCUAAUCCGAUAAAGUCGUUCUCAGUUCGGAUUGUAGGCUGCAACUCGCCUACAUGAAGCCGGAAUCGCUAGUAAUCGCGGAUCAGCAUGCCGCGGUGACUAGCAAAUGACAUGACUAGAACAUGAUAGCAAUGCAGUAACAGUGACAUUUA